GACGAACGCUGGCGGCGUGCCUAAUACAUGCAAGUUGAGCGCUGAAGGUUGGUACUUGUACCCACUGGAUGAGCAGCGAACGGGUGAGCAACGCGUGGGGAAUCUGCCUUUGAGCGGGGGACAACAUUUGGAAACGAAUGCUAAUACCGCAUAAAAACUUUAAACACAAGUUUUAAGUUUGAAAGAUGCAAUUGCAUCACUCAAAGAUGAUCCCGCGUUGUAUUAGCUAGUUGGUGAGGUAAAGGCUCACCAAGGCGAUGAUACAUAGCCGACCUGAGAGGGGUAUCGGCCACAUUGGGAAUGAGACACUGCCCAAACUCCUACGGGGGGCAGCAGUAGGGAAUCUUCGGCAAUGGACGAAAGUCUGACCGAGCAACGCCGCGUGAGUGAAGAAGGGUUUAGGAUCGUAAAACUCUGUUGGUAGAGAAGAACGUUGGUGAGAGUGGAAAGCUCAUCAAGUGACGGUAACUACCCAGAAAGGGACGGCUAACUACGUG
rnacentral:rRNA from 1 species